UUAGAUAACUUAGUGGCGGACGGGUGAGUAACGCGUGGGUAACCUGCCUUACACAGGGGGAUAACACUUAGAAAUAGGUGCUAAUACCGCAUAAGCGCACAGUCCCGCAUGGGACAGAGUGAAAAACAUUAGUGGUGUAAGAUGGACCCGCGUCUGAUUAGCUUGUUGGCGGGGUAACGGCCCACCAAGGCGACGAUCAGUAGCCGGCCUGAGAGGGUGGACGGCCACGUUGGGACUGAGACACGGCCCAAACUCCUACGGAAGGCAGCAG
rnacentral:rRNA from 1 species